rnacentral:tRNA from 1 species
GGGGCUGUCGGCUAGUGGUAGGCUUCACCCUUGGGGUGGGUGAGACGUGAGUUCAAUUCUCAUCAGUCCCA